rnacentral:rRNA from 1 species
ACUAAGCGUACACGGUGGAUGCCCUGGCAGUCAGAGGCGAUGAAGGGCGUGCUAAUCUGCGAUAAGCGCCGGUAAGGUGAUAUGAACCGUUAUAACCGGCGAUACCCGAAUGGGGAAACCCAGUGUGACUCGUCACACUAUCAUUAACUGAAUCCAUAGGUUAAUGAGGCGAACCGGGGGAACUGAAACAUCUAAGUACCCCGAGGAAAAGAAAUCAACCGAGAUUCCCCCAGUAGCGGCGAGCGAACGGGGAGGAGCCCAGAGCCUGAAUCAGCAUGUGUGUUAGUGGAAGCGUCUGGAAAGGCGCGCGAUACAGGGUGACAGCCCCGUACACAAAAGCGCAUGUGCUGUGAGCUCGAUGAGUAGGGCGGGACACGUGGUAUCCUGUCUGAAUAUGGGGGGACCAUCCUCCAAGGCUAAAUACUCCUGACUGACCGAUAGUGAACCAGUACCGUGAGGGAAAGGCGAAAAGAACCCCGGCGAGGGGAGUGAAAAAGAACCUGAAACCGUGUACGUACAAGCAGUGGGAGCCCCACCACCAAAGCAUUUGCUGUACCGCGUUGACGGAGCGAAGCGACGUCAAACCGAUAAAACAGCAGUGUAAAGUGAGCCGCAGGGCGCUUUGCGCGACAGCGCAAAGGCAGGCGGUUUCGCGCAGCGAAAGCGAAUGCUUUGGGGUGGGGUGACUGCGUACCUUUUGUAUAAUGGGUCAGCGACUUAUAUUCUGUAGCAAGGUUAACCGAAUAGGGGAGCCGGAGGGAAACCGAGUCUUAAUUGGGCGUUAAGUUGCAGGGUAUAGACCCGAAACCCGGUGAUCUAGCCAUGGGCAGGUUGAAGGUUGGGUAACACUAACUGGAGGACCGAACCGACUAAUGUUGAAAAAUUAGCGGAUGACCUGUGGCUGGGGGUGAAAGGCCAAUCAAACCGGGAGAUAGCUGGUUCUCCCCGAAAGCUAUUUAGGUAGCGCCUCGUGAAUUCAUCUCCGGGGGUAGAGCACUGUUUCGGCUAGGGGGCCAUCCCGGCUUACCAACCCGAUGCAAACUGCGAAUACCGGAGAAUGUUAUCACGGGAGACACACGGCGGGUGCUAACGUCCGUCGUGAAGAGGGAAACAACCCAGACCGCCAGCUAAGGUCCCAAAGUCAUGGUUAAGUGGGAAACGAUGUGGGAAGGCCCAGACAGCCAGGAUGUUGGCUUAGAAGCAGCCAUCAUUUAAAGAAAGCGUAAUAGCUCACUGGUCGAGUCGGCCUGCGCGGAAGAUGUAACGGGGCUAAACCAUGCACCGAAGCUGCGGCAGCGACACUAUGUGUUGUUGGGUAGGGGAGCGUUCUGUAAGCCGUUGAAGGUGGCCUGUGAGGGUUGCUGGAGGUAUCAGAAGUGCGAAUGCUGACAUAAGUAACGAUAAAGCGGGUGAAAAGCCCGCUCGCCGGAAGACCAAGGGUUCCUGUCCAACGUUAAUCGGGGCAGGGUGAGUCGACCCCUAAGGCGAGGCCGAAAGGCGUAGUCGAUGGGAAACGGGUUAAUAUUCCCGUACUUGGUGUUACUGCGAAGGGGGGACGGAGAAGGCUAUGUUGGCCGGGCGACGGUUGUCCCGGUUUAAGCGUGUAGGUGUGUGUUCCAGGUAAAUCCGGUUCACUUUAACACUGAGGCGUGAUGACGAGGCACUACGGUGCUGAAGCAACAAAUGCCCUGCUUCCAGGAAAAGCCUCUAAGCAUCAGGUAACAUCAAAUCGUACCCCAAACCGACACAGGUGGUCAGGUAGAGAAUACCAAGGCGCUUGAGAGAACUCGGGUGAAGGAACUAGGCAAAAUGGUGCCGUAACUUCGGGAGAAGGCACGCUGACACGUAGGUGAAGUGAUUUACUCAUGGAGCUGAAGUCAGUCGAAGAUACCAGCUGGCUGCAACUGUUUAUUAAAAACACAGCACUGUGCAAACACGAAAGUGGACGUAUACGGUGUGACGCCUGCCCGGUGCCGGAAGGUUAAUUGAUGGGGUCAGCGCAAGCGAAGCUCCUGAUCGAAGCCCCGGUAAACGGCGGCCGUAACUAUAACGGUCCUAAGGUAGCGAAAUUCCUUGUCGGGUAAGUUCCGACCUGCACGAAUGGCGUAAUGAUGGCCAGGCUGUCUCCACCCGAGACUCAGUGAAAUUGAACUCGCUGUGAAGAUGCAGUGUACCCGCGGCAAGACGGAAAGACCCCGUGAACCUUUACUAUAGCUUGACACUGAACAUUGAGCCUUGAUGUGUAGGAUAGGUGGGAGGCUUUGAAGUGUGGACGCCAGUCUGCAUGGAGCCGACCUUGAAAUACCACCCUUUAAUGUUUGAUGUUCUAACGUGGACCCGUGAUCCGGGUUGCGGACAGUGUCUGGUGGGUAGUUUGACUGGGGCGGUCUCCUCCUAAAGAGUAACGGAGGAGCACGAAGGUUGGCUAAUCCUGGUCGGACAUCAGGAGGUUAGUGCAAUGGCAUAAGCCAGCUUGACUGCGAGCGUGACGGCGCGAGCAGGUGCGAAAGCAGGUCAUAGUGAUCCGGUGGUUCUGAAUGGAAGGGCCAUCGCUCAACGGAUAAAAGGUACUCCGGGGAUAACAGGCUGAUACCGCCCAAGAGUUCAUAUCGACGGCGGUGUUUGGCACCUCGAUGUCGGCUCAUCACAUCCUGGGGCUGAAGUAGGUCCCAAGGGUAUGGCUGUUCGCCAUUUAAAGUGGUACGCGAGCUGGGUUUAGAACGUCGUGAGACAGUUCGGUCCCUAUCUGCCGUGGGCGCUGGAGAACUGAGGGGGGCUGCUCCUAGUACGAGAGGACCGGAGUGGACGCAUCACUGGUGUUCGGGUUGUCAUGCCAAUGGCACUGCCCGGUAGCUAAAUGCGGAAGAGAUAAGUGCUGAAAGCAUCUAAGCACGAAACUUGCCCCGAGAUGAGUUCUCCCUGAGACUUAGAGUCUCCUGAAGGAACGUUGAAGACGACGACGUUGAUAGGCCGGGUGUGUAAGCGCAGCGAUGCGUUGAGCUAACCGGUACUAAUGAACCGUGAGGCUUAACC